rnacentral:rRNA from 1 species
UACGUAGGGUGCAAGCGUUAAUCGGAAUUACUGGGCGUAAAGCGUGCGCAGGCGGUUUUGUAAGUCUGACGUGAAAUCCCCGGGCUUAACCUGGGAAUUGCGUUGGAGACUGCAAGGCUGGAGUCUGGCAGAGGGGGGUAGAAUUCCACGUGUAGCAGUGAAAUGCGUAGAUAUGUGGAGGAACACCGAUGGCGAAGGCAGCCCCCUGGGUCAAAACUGACGCUCAUGCACGAAAGCGUGGGGAGCAAACAGG